AAUUUUGGACAAUGGGGGAAACCCUGAUCCAGCCAUCCCGCGUGUUUGAUGAAGGCCUUCGGGUUGUAAAGUACGUUUGGCAGAGAAGAAAAGGUAUCGCCUAAUACGUGAUACUUCUGACGGUAUCUCCAGAAUAAGCACCGGCUAACUACAUGCCAGCAGCUGCGGUAAGACGUAAGGUGCAAGCGGUAAUCGGAAUUACUGGGCGUAAAGAGUGUGUAGGCGGAUCGGAAAGAAAGAUGUGAAAUCCCAGGGCGCAACCUUGGAACUGCAUUUUUAACAGCCGAGCUAGAGUAAGUCAGAGGGGGGUAGAAUUCCACGUGUAGCAGUGAAAUGCGUAGAUAUGUGGAGGAAUACCGAUGGCGAAGGCAGCCCCCUGGGAUAACACUGACGCUCAGACACGAAAGCGUGGGGAGCAAACAGG
rnacentral:rRNA from 1 species